rnacentral:lncRNA from 1 species
CAUUUUACAUGCUAAAACAUAAGCCAUUUUUUGUUUAUAGAAUUCAGAAAUCUGAUGGCACCUGCCCAAUUACUCAAGGUGAAUGGCCUUGAAAUUGAUCAAUGUCCAAUGAGUUAUUAAAAAUUGAGCAAUGAUUGGUGGAAGCAAGAGAAAAUAUAAUUGAUGCUCAAGAUGUCUGAAUUAUAAAUGCAAUUGUAUUCACUCAACACAAUUCCCUAAGUCCCUGGGAAGGUUGAGAACAUUUGAUUUGGAAGCAGAAAAAUUGGACCCAAAUGAGCGUUCUAACCUUCACUAGCUAUGGGAGAAGGCCUGCCUGAGUGUGUUUUCUCAUCUACAAAGAAAAAAAAGUAAUAGAGAGCAUUGGGCCAGCGUUCCAGGGGCUCUGGGAGUGGCUGCCAGGUGAGUUGAACAGUCCGAUUUUCAGUGUGGUCCACAUUUAGACCAUAAAGAGAGGAUAACUUUGGAUGUAGUUUAGCAGUUUUCUAAUAAUCUGUGAUAUAGGUGACAAUCAUCCUGUUUUCAGGGCUGUGCUAAAGCCGCUUGUGUGCAUGUCUUCCCAAAUUCAUACUCAGUGAUAUCUAGUUGGUAGCUUGAAAUGAGCCAUGGUAGGAGCAUUUGCACCAUAUUGAAAAUCAGCACCUCAUCGCCUACAGAGGUCCAGGUGAUCCUGCCUCAGCCUCCUGAGUAUUUGGGAUUACAGGUGCCUGCCACCAUGCUCGGCUAAUUUUUUGUAUUUUUAGUAGAGAUGGGGUUUCACUAUUUUGGCCAGGCUGGUCUUGAACUCCUGACCUCGUGAUCCACCUGCCUUGGUUUAGUCAGCCACCUUAAAGCCUGUCCUCAAUUAGAUCUUUUGCAGUAGUCCAAGAAAGAAAUGAUGGUAGCUUGACCUGGGUUUCUAAUAGUGGAAAUGGUAAGUAGAAAUUUUUGUAUUGUUCAUGGAAAACUCUGAAGGACUAUAUAGUUUAUCAUAGCUGGAUCCCCAACUGCCAUGUUCUCCUAAGGGUCAAGGAAUAGGUCUUUAUUUCUUGAAUCAUUUAACACUGAAAUAGAAAAGUCAUUGAAAAACAUAUUAGGAGCAAUGCUCUGUACAGUUUAAAUUUUAUUUUUAUCUUUAUGGAUUUAAGGGGUACAAGUGCAUUUUUGUUACACGGAUAUAUUGCAUAGUGGUGAUGUUUGGGCUUUUAGUGUGCCCAUCACCUAAAUAGUGUACAUUGUACCCAAUAGGUAAUUUCUCAUCCCUUACCCCCUUCCACCCCCAAGCUUUUGUAGUCUUCAGUGUCUAUUAUUCCACUCUGUAUGUUUAUGUGUAUACAUUGUUUAACUCCCACUUACAAGUGACAACAUGCAGUAUUAGACUUUCUGUUUCUGAGUUAUUUCACUUAGGAUAAUGGCCUCCA